UACGUAGGGGGCUAGCGUUGUCCGGAUUUAUUGGGCGUAAAGAGCGUGUAGGCGGCCAGGUAGGUCUGCUGUGAAAACUCGAGGCUCAACCUCGAGACGUCGGCGGAAACCAUCUGGCUAGAGUCCGGAAGAGGAGAGUGGAAUUCCUGGUGUAGCGGUGAAAUGCGCAGAUAUCAGGAAGAACACCCGUGGCGAAGGCGGCUCUCUGGGACGUGACUGACGCUGAGACGCGAAAGCGUGGGGAGCGAACAGG
rnacentral:rRNA from 1 species